UACGUAGGGUGCAAGCGUUUGUCCGGAAUUAUUGGGCGUAAAGAGCUCGUAGGCGGUCUGUCGCGUCGGCUGUGAAAACCCGGGGCUCAACUCCGGGCCUGCAGUCGAUACGGGCAGACUAGAGUGCGGUAGGGGAGACUGGAAUUCCUGGUGUAGCGGUGAAAUGCGCAGAUAUCAGGAGGAACACCGGUGGCGAAGGCGGGUCUCUGGGCCGUAACUGACGCUGAGGAGCGAAAGCGUGGGGAGCGAACAGG
rnacentral:rRNA from 1 species